AGUGAACGCUGGCGGUAGGCCUAACACAUGCAAGUCGAACGGCAGCACAGUAAGAGCUUGCUCUUACGGGUGGCGAGUGGCGGACGGGUGAGGCAUACAUCGGAAUCUACUUUUUCGUGGGGGAUAACGUAGGGAAACUUACGCUAAUACCGCAUACGACCUACGGGUGAAAGCAGGGGAUCUUCGGACCUUGCGCGAUUGAAUGAGCCGAUGUCGGAUUAGCUAGUUGGCGGGGUAAAGGCCCACCAAGGCGACGAUCCGUAGCUGGUCUGAGAGGAUGAUCAGCCACACUGGAACUGAGACACGGUCCAGACUCCUACGGGAGGCAGCAGUGGGGAAUAUUGGACAAUGGGCGCAAGCCUGAUCCAGCCAUACCGCGUGGGUGAAGAAGGCCUUCGGGUUGUAAAGCCCUAUUGUUGGGAAAGAAAAGCAGCAGGUUAAUACCCCGCUGUUCUGACGGUACCCAAAGAAUAAGCACCGGCUAACUUCGUG
rnacentral:rRNA from 1 species